rnacentral:misc_RNA from 1 species
UCCGGCUUGUCACCGGCAGUUUCUCCAGAGUGCCCGGCCGAACCGAUGGCAACUGAAGAUGGGGGUUGCGCUCGUUGCGGGACUUAACCCAACAUCUCACGACACGAGCUGACGACAGCCAUGCAGCACCUGUGUUCCCGCCAGCCGAACUGAAGAGUGGGGUCUCCCCCACCCACACGGGACAUGUCAAGGGCUGGUAAGGUUCUUCGCGUUGCGUCGAAUUAAACCACAUGCUCCACCGCUUGUGCGGGCCCCCGUCAAUUCCUUUGAGUUUCAACCUUGCGGUCGUACUCCCCAGGCGGGGUACUUCCUGCGUUAGCGCCGGCACCCAGAGGGUCGCUCCCCCAGGCACCUAGUACCCAUCGUUUACGGCGUGGACUAC